rnacentral:rRNA from 1 species
UACGUAGGGUCCGAGCGUUGUCCGGAAUUAUUGGGCGUAAAGAGCUCGUAGGCGGUCUGUCGCGUCUGCUGUGAAAACUCAGGGCUUAACCCUGAGCUUGCAGUGGGUACGGGCAGACUAGAGUGCGGUAGGGGAGACUGGAAUUCCUGGUGUAGCGGUGAAAUGCGCAGAUAUCAGGAGGAACACCGGUGGCGAAGGCGGGUCUCUGGGCCGUAACUGACGCUGAGGAGCGAAAGCGUGGGUAGCAAACAGG